AUUGAACGCUGGCGGCAGGCCUAACACAUGCAAGUCGAGCGGAUGAAGGGAGCUUGCUCCUGGAUUCAGCGGCGGACGGGUGAGUAAUGCCUAGGAAUCUGCCUGGUAGUGGGGAUAACGUCCGGAAACGGGCGCUAAUACCGCAUACGUCCUGAGGGAGAAAGUGGGGGAUCUUCGGACCUCACGCUAUCAGAUGAGCCUAGGUCGGAUUAGCUAGUUGGUGGGGUAAAGGCCUACCAAGGCGACGAUCCGUAACUGGUCUGAGAGGUUGAUCAGUCACACUGGAACUGAGACACGGUCCAGACUCCUACGGGAGGCAGCAGUGGGGAAUAUUGGACAAUGGGCGAAAGCCUGAUCCAGCCAUGCCGCGUGUGUGAAGAAGGUCUUCGGAUUGUAAAGCACUUUAAGUUGGGAGGAAGGGCAGUAAGUUAAUACCUUGCUGUUUUGACGUUACCAACAGAAUAAGCACCGGCUAACUUCGUG
rnacentral:rRNA from 1 species